UGUCGGGAUUUACUGGGCGUAAGGGUGCGCAGCGGACAUUUAGGUGAGAUGUGAAAGCCCGGGGUUUAAUGUGGGCCAGUGCUAUUCAAACUGAUGUGUGAGGGCCAGGAGAGGAGAACGGAAUUCCUAGUGUAGCGAUGAAAUGCGUAGAGAUUAGGAAGAACACCAGUGGCGAAGGCGGUUUUGUGGACUGUAACUGACGUGGAGGCACGAAAAGCGUGGGUAGCAAACAGGAUUAGAUACCUUGUUAGUCCACGCNGUAAACGAUGAGUACUAGGUGUAGGAGGUAUCGACCCUUUCUGUGCCGCAAGUAAACACAAUAAGUACUCCGCCUGGGAAGUACGAUCGCAAGAUUAAAACUCAAAGGAUUUGACGGGGGCCCCGCACAAGCAGCGGAGCAUGUGUUUUUAUUCGAAGCAACGCGAAGACCCUUACCUGGACUUGACAUCCCNUGCAUAUCUUAGAGAUAAGAGAAGCCUUUCGGGGCAGGGAGACAGGUGGUGCAUGGUUGUCGUCAGCUCGUGUCGUGAGAUGUUAGGUUAAGUCCUGCAACGAGCGCAACCCCUAUUGUUAGUUGCUAGCAGUAAGAUGAGCACUCUAACGAGACAGCCGCGGUUAACGCGGAGGAAGGUGGGGAUGACGUCAAAUCAUCAUGCCCCUUAUGUCCAGGGCAACACACGUGCUACAAUGGGCAGAACAGAGAGAAGCAAGACCGCGAGGUGGAGCGAACCUUGAAAACUGCUCCCAGUUCGGAUUGCAGGCUGAAACCCGCCUGCAUGAAGCUGGAGUUGCUAGUAAUCGCGAAUCAGCAUGUCGCGGUGAAUACGUUCCCGGGCCUUGUACACACCGCCCGUCACACCAUGAGAGCUGGCAACACCCGAAGUCCGUAGUCUAACGAAAGAGGACGCUGUGCCGACAGAAUUCNGCUAGUGAUGGGGNAAGUCAA
rnacentral:rRNA from 1 species